UCCCUGGUAGUAUAUCGGCUAGUACACCCGCUUGUCAUUGCAGAUAUCUGUACGCGGGAAAGCGGGGUUCGACUCCCCGCUAAGGAG
rnacentral:tRNA from 1 species